rnacentral:rRNA from 1 species
CCGGGGCUUGCCCCGGGGCGGAGCCGCGAACGGGUGAGAAACACGAGGGUUACCUGCCCCAAUGACCGGGACAACCCGAGGAAACUCGGGCUAAUACCGGAUGUGGUCUACGGACGAAAGGAAGCUUCGGCCUCCGCAUUGGGAUGGGCCCGCGGCGCAUUAGCUUGUUGGUGGGGUAACGGCCUACCAAGGCGACGAUGCGUAGCUGGUCUGAGAGGACGAUCAGCCACACUGGGACUGAGACACGGCCCAGACUCCUACGGGAGGCAGCAGUGGGGAAUCUUGCGCAAUGCGCGAAAGCGUGACGCAGCAACGCCGCGUGGGGGAAGAAGGCCUUCGGGUUGUAAACCUCUUUCAGUUGGGACGAAGCUUCGCGGGUUAAUAGCCUGCCGGAGUGACGGUACCUUCAGAAGAAGCCCCGGCUAACUACGUGCCAGCAGCCGCGGUAAUACGUAGGGGGCAAGCGUUGUCCGGAAUCAUUGGGC